rnacentral:rRNA from 1 species
AUUGAACGCUGGCGGAAUGCUUUACACAUGCAAGUCGAACGGCAGCACGGACUUCGGUCUGGUGGCGAGUGGCGAACGGGUGAGUAAUGUAUCGGAACGCGCCCAGUCGUGGGGGAUAACGUAGUGAAAAUUACGCUAAUACCGCAUACGAUCUAUGGAUGAAAGCGGGGGAUCGCAAGACCUCGCGCGAUUGGAGCGGCCGAUAUCAGAUUAGGUAGUUGGUGGGGUAAAGGCCCACCAAGCCAACGAUCUGCAGCUGGUCUGAGAGGACGACCAGCCACCCUGGAACUGAGACACGGUCCAGACUCCGGCGGGAGGCAGCAGUGGGGAAUUUUGGACAAUGGACGCAAGUCUGAUCCAGCCAUUCCGCGUGCAGGAUGAAGGCCCUCGGGUUGUAAACUGCUUUUGUACAGAACGAAAAGGCUCUGGUUAAUACCUAGGGCUCAUGACGGUACUGUAAGAAUAAGCACCGGCUAACUACGUGCCAGCCGCCGCCGUAA